rnacentral:rRNA from 1 species
CGAGGGGCAUCAGGAUGUAGCAAUACAUUGCUGGCGACCGGCGCACGGGUGAGUAACACGUAUCCAACCUGCCUUUUACUCGGGGAUAGGCUUUCGAAAGAAAGAUUAAUACCCGAUGGUAUAAUAUUUCCGCAUGGGAUUAUUAUUAAAGAAUUUCGGUAAAAGAUGGGGAUGCGUUCCAUUAGGCAGUUGGCGGGGUAACGGCCCACCAAACCUUCGAUGGAUAGGGGUUCUGAGAGGAAGGUCCCCCACAUUGGAACUGAGACACGGUCCAAACUCCUACGGGAGGCAGCAGUGAGGAAUAUUGGUCAAUGGGCGAAAGCCUGAACCAGCCAAGUAGCGUGAAGGAUGACUGCCCUAUGGGUUGUAAACUUCUUUUAUAGGGGAAUAAAAUGAGCCACGUGUGGCUUUUUGUAUGUACCCUAUGAAUAAGGAUCGGCUAACUCCGUGCCAGCAGCCGCGGUAAUACGGAGGAUCCGAGCGUUAUCCGGAUUUAUUGGGUUUAAAGGGAGCGUAGGUGGACAUGUAAGUCAGUUGUGAAAGUUUGCGGCUCAACCGUAAAAUUGCAGUUGAUACUGUGUGUCUUGAGUACAGUAGAGGUGGGCGGAAUUCGUGGGUAGCG